GACGAACGCUGGCGGCGCGCUUAACACAUGCAAGUCGAACGGAAAGGCCUGCUUUCCCUUGUGGAUUGCGGGUACUCGAGUGGCUAACGGGUGAGUAGCACGUGAGUGAUCUGCCCCCAACUUGGGUAUAAGCCUGGGAAACUGGGUCUAAUUCCCGAUAGGACUGCAGGGUGGUGCCCGUGGUGGAAAACGAUUUUCUAGUGGUUGGGGAUGAGCUCGCGGCCUAUCAGCUUGUUGGUGGGGUAAUGGCCUACCAAGGCGGCGACGGGUAGCCGGCCUGAGAGGGUGGACGGCCACAUUGGGACUGAGAUACGGCCCAGACUCCUACGGGAGGCAGCAGUGGGGAAUAUUGCACAAUGGGCGGAAGCCUGAUGCAGCGACGCCGCGUGGGGGAUGACGGCCUUCGGGUUGUAAACUCCUUUCGACCGCGAGGAAGCCACCUGGUUGGAAGGGUGGUGACGGUAGUGGUAGAAGAAGCACCGGCUAACUACGUG
rnacentral:rRNA from 1 species